rnacentral:sRNA from 1 species
UGGGAGGGGAAGAAGAAUUUGAACUGCAAACAAAAAGGCUGCUGUGGUAUUCCAAUGGAAGAUGACCUGGGUGUAUGAUUGUGAAAAUCAGAUGCGUGCAAGAAACGCAGAGGAUACGGGACGGUGAUUUCAUAUGCUGGAGGCUCACACAACUGCUCUCCUGGCAUAAAGAGAGGGAAGAUGAGGAUGUUCUAGGACCUUGGGUAGCACUUGGAUCUUGGACUCCUACUUACAUCACCGCAGUUUCCUUGCUCUGCUGGUGGGAGAACUGGAUGAACUGAGAGAACCAUCACCAUCUAUGCUUGUCAUGUUGCUAAAGACAUCUGCCUUUCAGUAGGAGGGUGAGAAUAACCAGAGGACCUGCAUGACAUGGAAAUUUUACCAUCACAUAUUCGAUGAAGAUGUCCUGUUUUGAAAUAAUAUCCUAGCACCAGCCUUGGCCCUCAAGGUAC